rnacentral:rRNA from 1 species
UACGGAGGGUGCAAGCGUUGUCCGGAUUUAUUGGGUUUAAAGGGUGCGUAGGCGGCUCUUUAAGUCAGUGGUGAAAUACUGCAGCUCAACUGUAGCAUUGCCAUUGAUACUGAAGAGCUUGAGUACAGAUGAGGUAGGCGGAAUUUUAUGGUGUAGCGGUGAAAAUGCAUAGAUACCAUAAAAGAAACACCGAUUGCGAAAGGCA